UACGGAGGGGGCUAGCGUUGUUCGGAAUUACUGGGCGUAAAGCGCGCGUAGGCGGACCUGCAAGUCGGGGGUGAAAGCCCGAGGCUCAACCUCGGAACUGCCUUCGAUACUGCGGGUCUCGAGUCCGGGAGAGGUGAGUGGAACUGCGAGUGUAGAGGUGAAAUUCGUAGAUAUUCGCAAGAACACCAGUGGCGAAGGCGGCUCACUGGCCCGGUACUGACGCUGAGGUGCGAAAGCGUGGGGAGCAAACAGG
rnacentral:rRNA from 1 species